rnacentral:misc_RNA from 1 species
GGCUGGGAUCACUUGGGUCAGAUUGUAAGUAUCUACUUUUGGCAGCAACUACAAAAAAAGAUUCUGCUUUGGUUUUUAGUUUGCUUAAGAUAAUUAUCUUGAACGAUUGCUGAUGCAUCAAUUAUGUUCUUAAGCUACCAGUCAUUGGUAAAUUUAUCGAUUUUAAUUUGUCAUUGAAAACUAUGUUGUCUCUUAGUUGCAGUUACAAAGGAAUGAAGUG